GUAAGGAAUAUUGCGCAAUGGACGAAAGUCUGACGCAGCAACGCCGCGUGCAGGAUGAAGGCCCUUUGGGUUGUAAACUGCUGUAGAAAGGGAAUAAUAGUUUGCCACGGGUGAACUUGAAGGUACCUUUAAAGUAAGCGCCGGCUAACUACGUGCCAGCAGCCGCGGUAAUACGUAGGGCGCAAGCGUUGUCCGGAUUCACUGGGUGUAAAGGGUGCGCAGGCGGAUUGGCAAGUCAGAGGUGAAAUCUCACGGCUCAACCGUGAAACUGCCUUUGAUACUGCUUAUCUUGAGUUCGGGAGAGGUUGAUGGAAUUCCAGGUGUAGCGGUGAAAUGCGUAGAUAUCUGGAAGAACACCAGUGGCGAAGGCGGUCAACUGGCCCGCAACUGACGCUCAUGCACGAAAGCGUGGGGAUCAAACAGGAUUAGAAACCCGAGUAGUCC
rnacentral:rRNA from 1 species